CACCGAAGCCUAUGGUCGUUUGGCUACUAGGCCAUGUGGUGUUUAGGUUGAUCCGCAGAGGCACUGCUCCACUCUGAGUCCAGCAAUGAGUACGGUAGCUUGGACAUGGCCCAUGGAGGGUGAAAGGCCCGUAAGGGUGGAGUUCAGGCAGGCCAGUGUCUCUCUGGAUUGACCUGGGAGUCGGGUUGUUUGAGAAUGCAGCCCAAAGUGGGUGGUAAACUCCAUCCAAGGCUAAAUACUAACACGAGUCCGAUAGCGAACAAGUACCGUGAGGGAAAGUUGAAAAGUACUUUGAAGAGAGAGUAAACAGUGCGUGAAACCGCUCAGAGGUAAACAGGUGGAGUUGAACUGUAUACUCCGUGAAUUCAGCUGGUGUGGAUAUUUUGGGCUUGGUCGAAUGGGUUAGACACUGAGGUAUACAGAGCCGUAUGUCCCAGUCAAUUUGGUUGGGAUGCAUGCUGCGCUUAUCAUGCGUUGUGCGCCUCAGUUGUUUAUCUGCCCCCUCACCAGUGCAAUUUCACGGGGUGAUCACCACGACCGGCGUUGCUGCUUGACUAGUUUGGUCAAACUGCCCUUUCACCGUUUGUAUGGCGUUGUUUGGUCGGGAUGGCAGGUAACCCGUUAGCUUGCUUCAGUUUGCUCUCGGGUGUUUUCAGCUGGCCAAAUUGAAUUUUGUGCAGUACGUCGGAGAUGUCGGCUCGUUGUGCGUACCUGCGUAUCCGAAGGUUCCAGAGGAUCCUGGUUUGAUUAUUGUGUUGCCUAUUCAAAUAGGUCCAGUAGUAUCCAGGUUCUCAUUGGUUAUUGGUUGCGUAGGGGGCACCAUGAAAGGCCAAAAGUCUGUGGUGUUGUGGUAGACUAUCCACCUGACCCGUCUUGAAACACGGACCAAGGAGAGUAACAUGUGCGCAAGUCAUUGGGCCUUACGAAACCCAAAGGCAGAGUGAAAGUAAAGGUCUGACGGUUUGUACAGACUAUGGUGAGAUCCUGUCGUAUCUCACACGUGGCACCGCCAAGCAAUAUAAAGAGCGACAGGCGCAUCACCGGCCCGCCCCAUGGCGUAGACAUGGUCAUUUUGUACUCGUGCAUCGUCGGGGCGGAGCAUGAGCGCACAUGUUGAGACCCGAAAGAUGGUGAACUAUGCUUGCGCAGGUUGAA
rnacentral:rRNA from 1 species